AAUCAACGCUGGCGGCGUGCCUCAGACAUGCAAGUCGAACGCGAAAGUUCCCUUCGGGGGAUGAGUAGAGUGGCGCACGGGUGAGUAACACGUAGGUAAUCUACCUUCGGAUGGGGAAUAACAACCGGAAACGGUUGCUAAUACCGCAUAAUGCAGCGGCACCUAAUGGUGACAGUUGUUAAAGCGGGGGAUCGAAAGACCUCGCGUCUGAAGAGGAGCCUGCGGCGGAUUAGCAGUUGGUAGGUAACGGCCUACCAAGGCUACGAUCCGUAGCCGGCCUGAGAGGGCGGUCGGCCGCACUGACACUGACAUACGGGUCAGACUCCUACGGGAGGCAGCAGUCGGGAAUUUUGGGC
rnacentral:rRNA from 1 species